UACGUAGGGUGCGAGCGUUGUCCGGAAUUAUUGGGCGUAAAGGGCGCGUAGGCGGUGCGGUAAGUCACCUGUGAAAUCUCCUGGCUCAACUGGGAGCUUGCAGGCGAAACUGCCGUGCUGGAGUGUGGGAGAGGUGCGUGGAAUUCCUGGUGUAGCGGUGAAAUGCGUAGAUAUCGGGAGGAACACCUGUGGCGAAAGCGGCGCACUGGACCACAACUGACGCUGAGGCGCGAAAGCUAGGGGAGCAAACAGG
rnacentral:rRNA from 1 species